rnacentral:rRNA from 1 species
AGGACGAACGCUGGCGGCGUGCUUAACACAUGCAAGUCGAGCGGAAAGGCCCUUCGGGGUACUCGAGCGGCGAACGGGUGAGUAACACGUGAGCAACCUGCCCCUGGCUCUGGGAUAGCCUCCGGAAACGGGGAUUAAUACCGGACAUGACCCUUGACCGCAUGGUUGGGGGUGGAAAGUUUUUCGGCCAGGGGGGCUCGCGGCCUAUCAGCUUGUUGGGGGGGUGACGGCCCACCAAGGCGACGACGGGUAGCC